UUAAAAACUCAAAUAAAUAUGUGAAACAAGAGUUUUUAAGAUACUGAAUGUCAGGAGAUGAAGGACCAUGGUGCCCAAGAGACAGAAAAUAAUUGAAGUGAGUCCUACGAUGGCACUAACUUACCUUGAGAGAGUUUCCAGUCACAGUUGAGGAAAGGGAAACCCAAGCAGAGCCCGGGAAUCACCAUGAGUUGAGGGAGGAUUCUGAAUGUCCGGGGAGGCCAAGGCAGCGAGAGUUCAUGGGACACAGUCUCAGAGAGGGGAGAGCCUCACAGAAUGAGAUGCCAGAGACCUGCAGAGGGUCCCCCACCCUUCCCCAGCUGAGCACCGAUCAGUGCAUGUGUUGGAGGGAACUCUCAGAGGCUGGGAAGAGCCAACUGAAAGGGAUAGAAGAAAUAGCACUAGGAGCUCCAACAAAGACAGAAAUAGUUUGUUCCGCCCAUCAGAGAGGAAAACCUUAUAAUUUAUGGGGCAUCAACAGAGCAUUCAGAGGGUUUAGCCCUAGUCGUUAGGCAAAAUUAGCCCUAGACUAAAUGCUCCUAUAAUUCUGCCUCACAGAGCUUGUUUAAAGAAUUAGGAUGUGCUGUAUUUCUCAAUCCAGCAUGAACCUGAGACUGACUGGAUUUUGGAUCGAGGUGGAAGACAUCACCUUGUAAACCGCAUGACCAACAUUACCCAGUCAGAAGAUCUAUCUUCUUGUGUCUCUGCAUGGCCGCUGUAGUAGGAACUGACAACCGUGUGGGUUACUUGCAGUCCAAGUCUCCAUUUUUGGCUUCUGUCUCCUUUUGUGAAGAUGGAAUACAAAUGGGACCACCUAAAGCACAACUGUGAAGACCUCCCUCUUUGGCAGCUUCCCAUGUUUCCUGAUUAAGCUUAUUCCCUUGCUUGAGCGAAUUCCAGGACUUUCCUGCUGGUAUUCAGUUUAGCUCUCUCUUGAUAGGGCUCCAUGUUAGGAAUGUUUAUCCUGUUCCUAUCAUUACCUCAAAGAAGAGAAGGACUGAGGAAUGGAAACUGAGAAAUGGACGUGCCACAAGAUUAAAGGAGCUGACAUUCCCCAAUCAAAGGACAUUUAUUGUGAAGCUACUAUGUACUGUGCACUGUUCUCGGUGCUUUCAGAUGUGUUUCAGGGGACUGUGCCCUUAAAUUAGUCAAGCAAUUCAAUCACUUGUUUUCAAUCUAUUCUCAACAGGACGCUACAUAGGAGAUAUGAAGUGAGAGUCGAAUUUGUUUACUUAGAGACAAUUGUUCACUUAGAGACAAUUGUUCUACUAUUUAUUGAGAAGUCUAUGUUUUAUUUUUUGCUGAUCUUCUGUACCAACCUGGCCAUAACUCAAGUCUUCAUGAAUGUGUGAUUCUGGAUCUGGACUCUCUAUUCUGUUUCAUUGGUCUGUUUAUCUACCCUUGUGCUAAUGCCAUGCCAUCUUAAAUACUACAGCCUGAUAAGAAGUCUUGAUAUCUGGCAAGGUAGACCAGAAGCUGGGUUGUGCCUGGUCAUCACUCUGGAGGGGGAUUCCUGGAGCAGGCAUUCUCUGCAAUGCUGUCUUUUGCUAUGAUGGGGAAGAGAGAGGACGGCAAAAUCAUGCACUGGGUCUUAAAAUUGCCACUCAGAGUGUUCACCAUGUCAAUGAAGUGAGUCAGGUGCCUUCCUAAAUAAUGCCACCGAACCAGUAAAGUAUCAGGGUCACUUGAAGUGAAUGCCAGCAGUUUCGUCACUCGUUUAUGUAACCACGAAGUAAGAUGCUAAGACCCAAAGGUCAGUGAGCAGCAAUGAUACUCAUGCAUCUUUUGCAGUAUGUCCUAGAAUAUUCAACUAUAUGCCCAGUCACCCUCUCUACUGGGUCUAAAUACAUGAAAGCAUGUUCAUAGCAAGGCCUCUUCGGUAAGAUUUUAAAAUAUAAAACUAAACCCCAAACACUGAAACCACUUAUUGAAGAUCAACUGUGUAGAGUGCAAUUGACUUUCAAAUACGUUAUCACUUAUCAAAUACAUUCAAUUCUCACAAUAGUCCUGUGGAAUAUUACUGCCCUCAUUUCACAGAUCAGGAAACUGAAGCUCAGAGAAGUUAAAUGACUUGUCAAAACCACACUGCUAUAAAUCUAUGAAGCCUGUUCCUCCUUUAUGACACUUGCUGCCUCUCUAAGACAAAUGUGAGGUAAGUGGUCAGAACAAUUCAAAUGUUAAAGGAUGUCUCUGAGUCUGUAGUGACAUUCUUCCUCAUUGCCUCCUUCUUGGAUAAAUACACAGUGCAUCUGUAGAGUGUGUUCCCAUAAAUAAGUCUCCUAAGUUUUCCCAUCUGUAGAGGUAAGGAGAGACCGUGGGGUAGAGGUGGCAGGAGAGGACACUUCAGGUGUUCAAUCAUGCGGAUUGCUGGGAGUGUGGCAUCAACUUAUCCAGCUCCGCAUCUGCCUGGCCACCUGAGUGUCUCAGGUAAACUGGGCCAGAAAAGUCUAGCAAAUGCUUUUCUUGCCCUAAACUCAUCUUAGGUCAUGAAGAGCUGAGAGAACAGGUAUUAUAGAUUCAGGGUGCUUUUUUUUAUUGCUUCUGGGACUUCACUGCCGUCCUUCCUUAUCUGCUAAUAGAUCCUAGAUGGCAGAAGUUUUAUGUAUUUUAUAUAUUUUGAAUAAGGUCUCAACAGUGAAAAUAAAGGUAGUUCAUCUGUGUUCAUCUGCACACCACCACUUCUCCCCACUUUAAGGAUUACACACCUUGACAACAGGGAUGAACAAAGGAGCCAGGCUGGGCUACUGUGAUUUUCCCAACUGAGUUGGAUGUGAUGAAUUACUUGGUUCUUCUGUUCUUAACAGGCUGUAAAGAUGUAAGUCUUGAGUUUUGAGCUGCAUAAGGUCAUAGUUCAGCCUCUAAGGGGACAGCUGGCUUGAGAGAAUGAAGGCACCAUGAAAGAAGGUGGAAUAAGUACCAGAGAGAGAGAGUACGUGUCCUAACAGCAUCCCAUUGCUGGAGUCCGUAGACCCAAUCCAGCCCUACUCUUCUUGUGGCUCGCUCAGAUUCUCCAUUUUGCUCCAGGUCGUCUGAGUUAGAUUUCUGUCACUUAGUACUGAAGGAGUCUGGACUAAUACAGAAAUUAUGCUUUAAUAACUGAAAUAAUAACAGUGGCUCCUUGAGAGUUAACUUUGUGCCAAGUAUUUCACUCAGAUCGUCUUUAUUUUUUUCUUGAAUAUAAUCACACAAGGCAGGUAUCGCCCUUUUAUUUACGAAGAAAUUGAAGUUCUGAGAGGUUAAAUGACUUUCUUAAGGUCACACAGCUAGAGAGUAGUAGAGUAAGAUUUUGAAUCCAU